UACGAAGGGGGCUAGCGUUGCUCGGAAUCACUGGGCGUAAAGGGCGCGUAGGCGGCGUUUUAAGUCGGGGGUGAAAGCCUGUGGCCCAACCACAGAAUGGCCUUCGAUACUGGGACGCUUGAGUAUGGUAGAGGUUGGUGGAACUGCGAGUGUAGAGGUGAAAUUCGUAGAUAUUCGCAAGAACACCGGUGGCGAAGGCGGCCAACUGGACCAUUACUGACGCUGAGGCGCGAAAGCGUGGGGAGCAAACAGG
rnacentral:rRNA from 1 species